rnacentral:tRNA from 1 species
GCCGUUGUAGCUCAGUUGGUAGAGCACGUCAUUGGUAAUGACGAGGUCGACGGUUCAAUCCCGUCCAACGGCUCUA